rnacentral:rRNA from 1 species
CUUUAUUGGAGAGUUUGAUCCUGGCUCAGGACGAACGCUGGCGGCGUGCCUAAUACAUGCAAGUCGAGCGGAUCAAUGAAGAGCUUGCU